ACUCCCAGCAAUGGGCAAAGACACACCAUGUUGGUGGUGGUGUUUUCAUAUGAGUCAGGGGCAGAGUAGAUGGAAGUCCUUUGUUCAUCCUAGCUUGAUGCUUGGCUUGGUGCCCAAAGCUGUCUUAUGCCUAGGACUCAUAA